rnacentral:rRNA from 1 species
UGGGCAACCUGCCCCUAGCUCUGGGAUAACUGCGGGAAACUGUAGCUAAUACCGGAUGUGACACGAGACUGCAUGGUCUUCGUGUGGAAAGAUUUAUCGGCUAGGGAUGGGCCCGCGUCGGAUUAGCUAGUUGGUGAGGUAACGGCUCACCAAGGCAACGAUCCGUAGCUGGUCUGAGAGGAUGAUCAGCCACACUGGGACUGAGACACGG